rnacentral:rRNA from 1 species
CGAACGGGUGAGUAACGCGUAGGUAACCUGCCUUGUAGCGGGGGAUAACUAUUGGAAACGAUAGCUAAUACCGCAUAACAAUGGAUGACACAUGUCAUUUAUUUGAAAGGGGCAAUUGCUCCACUACAAGAUGGACCUGCGUUGUAUUAGCUAGUAGGUGAGGUAAUGGCUCACCUAGGCGACGAUACAUAGCCGACCUGAGAGGGUGAUCGGCCACACUGGGACUGAGACACGGCCCAGACUCCUACGGGAGGCAGCAGUAGGGAAUCUUCGGCAAUGGGGGCAACCCUGACCGAGCAACGCCGCGUGAGUGAAGAAGGUUUUCGGAUCGUAAAGCUCUGUUGUAAGUCAAGAACGGGUGUGAGAGUGGAAAGUUCACACUGUGACGGUAGCUUACCAGAAAGGGACGGCUAACUACGUGCCAGCAGCCGCGGUAAUACGUAGGUCCCGAGCGUUGUCCGGAUUUAUUGGGCGUAAAGCGAGCGCAGGCGGUUUGAUAAGUCUGAAGUUAAAGGCUGUGGCUCAACCAUAGUUCGCUUUGGAAACUGUCAAACUUGAGUGCAGAAGGGGAGAGUGGAAUUCCAUGUGUAGCGGUGAAAUGCGUAGAUAUAUGGAGGAACACCGGUGGCGAAAGCGGCUCUCUGGUCUGUAACUGACGCUGAGGCUCGAAAGCGUGGGGAGCGAACAGGAUUAGAUACCCUGGUAGUCCACGCCGUAAACGAUGAGUGCUAG